AGCAGGUCUUCAGAUCAUCAAAGGGCAGCAUUGCAGAGCAAGACGAAGAUUCAAAUAACGUGGCAACAGACCUUGAACUUAAGAUGCCUGGAACAUCAUCACAUCAGGACUUGACGUCCGGAGAAAAGAAGGGCAAGCAGACCCAGAGGAAGGAGAUAAGUAUUUUACUGAUGGGAGCUCGUCGAGCAAGCUUUCCUCAUCUCAGGCUUUUCCAGAUAGUUCCUCCAAUAGUGUUAGUGACAACCCAAAGUCCAGUAGAUGAAGAGUUGAGUCCAGAAAAUCUCAAUGCCACAAUUUUCUUUUCCUGUUACAGGCCUAACUCAUUUUCUAGUGCUUUCGUAGUUUGUACCCCGAGGCUGGUCAGUUGUAUAUUAUGUUGCGUUUGCUUAAUUUACAGGGAAUUUUUUUAGUUUAUACAGAUUUCAGAGCAUAUGCCUGAAACUUGAACAAUGAAGGGCACAUUCAUUACUUUUUUAAGGGUUUAGCUCCAGCAACCAUGACAUAAUUGAUUGGAGCUUCUGUUUUGCAUCCAAA